AUAUCAAUAAGCGGAGGAAAAGAAACUAACAAGGAUUCCCCUAGUAACUGCGAGUGAAGCGGGAAAAGCUCAAAUUUAAAAUCUGGCGGCCUCUGGCCACCCGAGUUGUAAUUUAGAGAAGCGUCUUCCGCGCUGGACCAUGCACAAGUCUCCUGGAAUGGAGCGUCAUAGAGGGUGAGAAUCCCGUCUUUGGCAUGGAUGUACCAGGGCUUUUGUGAUGCGCUCUCAAAGAGUCGAGUUGUUUGGGAAUGCAGCUCAAAAUGGGUGGUGAACUCCAUCUAAAGCUAAAUAUUGGCGAGAGACCGAUAGCGAACAAGUACCGUGAGGGAAAGAUGAAAAGCACUUUGGAAAGAGAGUGAAACAGUACGUGAAAUUGUUGAAAGGGAAACGCUUGAAGUCAGUCGCGUCGACCGAGACUCAGCCUCGCCUUGGCUUGGUGUACUUCUCGGCCGACGGGUCAGCGUCAAUUUUGCCCCUCGGAUAAUGGCAAGGGAAAGGUAGCACCUUUAUAGGUGUGUUAUAGUCUCUUGUCGCAUGCGAGGGUCGGGAUUGAGGAACUCAGCACGCACCUCUCGGUGUCGGGGCUUCGGCCCACGCUACGUGCUUAGGAUGCUGGCGUAAUGGCUUUAAACGACCCGUCUUGAAACACGGACCAAGGAGUCUAACAUGCCCGCGAGUGUUCGGGUGGAAAACCCGUGCGCGUAAUGAAAGUAAAAGUUGGGACCUCUGUCGUGGGGGGCACCGACGCCCGGACCAGACCUUCUGUGACGGAUCUGCGGUAGAGCGUGCAUGUUGGGACCCGAAAGAUGGUGAACUAUGCCUGAAUAGGGUGAAGCCAGAGGAAACUCUGGUGGAGGCUCGUAGCGAUUCUGACGUGCAAAUCGAUCGUCAAAUUUGGGUAUAGGGGCGAAAGACUAAUCGAACCAUCUAGUAGCUGGUUCCUGC
rnacentral:rRNA from 1 species